rnacentral:rRNA from 1 species
GAUGAACGCUAGCGGCAGGCUUAAUACAUGCAAGUCGUGGGGCAGCGCAGGUAGCAAUACUGGGCGGCGACCGGCAAACGGGUGCGGAACACGUACACAACCUUCCUAUAAGUGGGGAAUAGCCCAGAGAAAUUUGGAUUAAUACCCCGUAACAUAACGAUGUGGCAUCACAUUGUUAUUAUAGCUUUGGCGCUUAUUGAUGGGUGUGCGGCUGAUUAGAUAGCUGGCGGGGUAACGGCCCACCAAGUCUACGAUCAGUAGCUGAUGUGAGAGCAUGAUCAGCCACACGGGCACUGAGACACGGGCCCGACUCCUACGGGAGCCAGCAGUAAGGAAUAUUGGACAAUGGGCGAAAGCCUGAUCCAGCCAUGCCGCGUGAAGGAUGAAGGUCCUCUGGAUUGUAAACUUCUUUUAUUUGGGACGAAAAAAGGGAAUUCUUUCCCACUUGACGGUACCAGAUGAAUAAGCACCGGCUAACUCCGUGCCAGCAGCCGCGGUAAUACGGAGGGUGCAAGCGUUAUCCGGAUUCACUGGGUUUAAAGGGUGCGUAGGCGGGUAGGUAAGUCAGUGGUGAAAUCCUAGAGCUUAACUCUAGAACUGCCAUUGAUACUAUCUAUCUUGAAUAUUGUGGAGGUAAGCGGAAUAUGUCAUGUAGCGGUGAAAUGCUUAGAUAUGACAUAGAACACCCAUUGCGAAGGCAGCUUACUACACAUAUAUUGACGCUGAUGCACGAAAGCGUGGGGAUCAAACAGGAUUAGAUACCCUGGUAGUCCACGCCCUAAACGAUGAUUACUCGACAUUUGUGAUACACAAUAAGUGUCUGAGCGAAAGCAUUAAGUAA